CUGANCCAGCAAUGCCGCGUGUDUGAAGAMGGUUUUCGGAUUGUAAAGCACUUUCAGCSGGGACGAUGAUGACGGUACCCGCAGAAGANGCCCCGGCUAACUUCGUGCCAGCHGCCGCGGUAAUACGAAGGGGGCAAGCNUUGCUCGGAAUGACUGGGCGUAAAGGGCGCGUAGGCGGUUGUUACNSUCAGAUGUGAAAUUCCCGGGCUUAACCUGGGGGCUGCAUUUGAUACGUGACGACUAGAGUGUGAGAVAVGGUUGUGGAAUUCCCAGUGUAGAGGUGAAAUUCGUAGAUAUUGGGAAGAACACCGGUGGCGAAGCGGC
rnacentral:rRNA from 1 species